ACGAACGCUGGCGGCGUGCCUAAUACAUGCAGGUUGAGCGCUGAAGGUUGGUACUUGUACCAACUGGAUGAGCAGCGAACGGGUGAGUAACGCGUGGGGAAUCUGCCUUUGAGCGGGGGACAACAUUUGGAAACGAAUGCUAAUACCGCAUAAAAACUUUAAACACAAGUUUUAAGUUUGAAAGAUGCAAUUGCAUCACUCAAAGAUGAUCCCGCGUUGUAUUAGCUAGUUGGUGGGGUAAAGGCUCACCAAGGCGAUGAUACAUAGCCGACCUGAGAGGGUGAUCGGCCACAUUGAGACUGAGACACGGCCCAAACUCCUACGGGAGGCAGCAGUAGGGAAUCUUCGGCAAUGGACGAAAGUCUGACCGAGCAACGCCGCGUGAGUGAAGAAGGUUGUCGGAUCGUAAAACUCUGUUGGUAGAGAAGAACGUUGGUGAGAGUGGAAAGCUCAUCAAGUGACGGUAACUACCCAGAAAGGGACGGCUAACUACGUG
rnacentral:rRNA from 1 species